rnacentral:rRNA from 1 species
AGCAGCCGCGGUAAUUCCAGCUCCAAUAGCGUAUAUUAAAGUUGUUGCAGUUAAAAAGCUCGUAGUUGAAUUUCGGGAUCAAAGGAUCGGUCAUGCCUUGGUAUGUACUGGUUUUAUUGGUUCUCACCUUCUAAAGAACCAUAAUGUCAUUCAUUUGAUGUUAUGGGGAAUUAGGACUGUUACCUUGAAAAAUUAGAGUGUUUAAAGCAGGCUUACGCUUGAAUACAUUAGCAUGGAAUAAUGAAAUAGGACAUCAGAUUCUAUUUUGUUGGUUUCUAGGAUCGAUGUAAUGAUUAAUAGGGAUAGUUGGGGGCAUUAGUAUUCAAUUGUCAGAGGUGAAAUUCUUGGAUUUAUUGAAGACUAACUACUGCGAAAGCAUUUGCCAAGGAUGUUUUCAUUAAUCAAGAACGAAAGUUAGGGGAUCGAAGACGAUCAGAUACCGUCGUAGUCUUAACCAUAAACUA